CCGUUGCCGGUCGGAAAUGGCCGCCGGCCGGCAGGGGGAGCGGAGGAUUCGGCGCGGCCUGGGAGGCGCGCAGCCGGCAGCCAGAGCGGCUUGUGGGAAGCGGAGUUUUGGGCAGGAGACGGCGAUGGCUCGUCUCUGACUGGAAGCUGCCAGGAGAGCAAGCUCUGGUGUCAACUACUAUAAGAAAUUGUAUAUUGAAGCAUAAUGCUACUACAUAAGGCAGAGAGAGGAAGAACGCUGCCCAGUAAGGCCUGAUUGUCAAUAGUGACGUGGAGGACGGGGCUGGCAUCUCAAGCUGCCAGCUGUUUUUACCAGCCGCUGUUUAACUUGGAUAGAAGCGAUGCAUACUGGCUGGUCAACAAGGCCAAGGAACAAAAGCUAUGGCAGUUAAAACGGUCCCUCCGAGCCCAGGGCCCUGUCCCUGGGUUUUAACACCAUGGAUCUCUUCUUUUCCGUCCCAUCAGCAAUGUGGUACCUCCUUC